rnacentral:rRNA from 1 species
AGCAGCCGCGGUAAUUCCAGCUCCAAUAGCGUAUAUUAAAGUUGUUGCAGUUAAAAAGCUCGUAGUUGAAUUUCGGGAUCAAUACGUCGGUCGUGCUUCGGUACGUACUGGCGUCAUUGGUUUCUCCCUUCUGACGAACCAUGAUGUCAUUAACUUGGUGUCAUGGGAAAUCAGGACUGUUACUUUGAAAAAUUAGAGUGUUUAAAGCAGGCUCACGCUUGAAUACAUUAGCAUGGAAUAAUGAAAUAGGACGUUCGAUCCUAUUUUGUUGGUUUCUAGGAUUGACGUAAUGAUUAAUAGGGAUAGCUGGGGCAUUAGUAUUCAAUUGUCAGAGGUGAAAUUCUUGGAUUUAUUGAAGACUAACUACUGCGAAAGCAUUUGCCAAGGAUGUU